UAAGGGAACUAACUGAAAAGGCUCUUGGGUUCAAGAGAAGACUUUUUUUUCACGGGAGGGAUUUGUGGUUGUUUCAGUGGUGAUGGAAAUGAGCCAGGAGAGAGGGGGAAACAAUACAGCAAUACGCAAGGGGGAGAAGAGAAGGCCAGAGAGAAUGGGGUGCAGGAGCCUUCGAGGGGUCACUUCCGCCACCUGAAGAGGAGCGGGCCUGUGGGAAAGUGAAGGAAGAUGCUCGCUGAUGGUGUUCUCGCGACACGGAAAACCUGGAGCCGAGGUGGGGCUGAAGGUUUACAGAGAGGAUCUGAAGUCAUCUCUGGAAUACGGGCAGCUGACCCUGGGUCCAUCUAGCAUCGGAGACCUAGACUUUACAGUGGCAUCUAGUGACGCGAAUGUGGGGUUUCAGACAAAAGCCCCCCUUAAGGAGACACCAGAUGAAACACUAGGCUUUCAGACCUAUGUGUUCCACUGACUGUUGACCCUCUCUUCUUCCGAGACUGAAAAUGGUGUUUGGUCAAUGCUGCCAGAAAGAAAGGUAAAUUUAUGUGGCCCUGUGACCUUCCCUAAGUGACAAGAGAGUCCUGCUUGGACCUAAGAAGCAGAGAAAACUGUGUUCUCUCUCCCCCAGCCCCUGACUCUUGUGGUGUAAUUUCUGAAAUUCACAGUCAGAUCCAAGUCAGGAAGGAAGCAGAUAUGAAAGAGAGAGAGCAGCAUGGGAGGUCAAGUCGUGGGAGCUGGAUGUGUGUGUAUACGUGCUCUCUGUGUUCCAGAAGAGCAGACUGGCUGGGAGACAUUAGUCCAAACUUAGUCAUGUGAUCUGGAGUCCAGAGCAAGGAGGCUUUGGAGGAGUGUUGGAGGACAUGAAAUGAGCAACUGUGGCUGCCCAGCCAAGGUCAGAAUCUGCUGCUUCCUCUCUGACUGGGCAUGCCCUCUUAGCCAGAUAGAGUUAUGGAAAGAAAGGAGGGAUGCGGGCAUUCCUUGUUUGCACCACACUGCAAGUCUGGCAAGUUUGGAAGGAAUAGGUUGAGGCGUGCAGUCACGCCUGGCAGGCAUCAGAGAGUCUGGCCUGAGCCCUAUUUCAGCUGAGAUGUGUUCCUCCAUAGAUUUUGCCUGCUUAUAUCAUGGUGGAGUAGGCCUUAGGGCCUGGAAAAAUGAGGAUGAACAGCCCAAGCCACAAUGAGGCCAGAGAACUCACAGUCUCAUUCAGUAGUGCUUCCCUUCUAGAUUCCUGUACAUAGCACACUGCCGCCCAUCCUCAUUCUUGCAGGUAAGGGUUUGGUGCUGGGUUGGGUUGAAGUCACAGGACCUGGGAAAUCAAUUCCCACUCAUCGACUGGCAAGCCAGGGUUCCUACAGGCCCUUCUGAGGUUGUCAUGUAUUUGGUUACCAGGAGGGACCAACACCUUUCUUAAGGCCAAGGCUGCCCUUUAUCAAUUUCGUUCCCAUGGAGCUCUUCUUGUUCUUCACCUGCCUCCUGCAGCACUUUAGCUUCUCGGUGCCUGAUGGACAGCCCCAGCCCAGUGACCAUGCAUCUUUGCUGUUCCAGUUGCCCGCUUCCUCCCCUCCCCACCAGCUCUGUGUUAUGAUGGGCACUAGUUCCAGUCUGCUCUGCAGCACAGGCUGAGCUACACACAAUGCACCAGUCUUGUGGCUGCCGCUGUUUCCUGCUGUUUCCUCAAUCCCUGUCUCUGCUGCAUCCUCACACAGCUGUCUCCAACAAAUCUUUACUGCCUGCCUCCUCAUUCGUACCCGACCCUCCCAAGAAACAGCCUAAAUGCUGGGAGAAAAGAGGGUGCUGAGCUUGGAGCAUUGGCACGACACUGCAGUUUCAGAAUGUGGAAGCUUAAAAAGGAGCACCAUGGAUGUGAAGUUAUCCUGGGAUAGACAGCAGGACCUAUGUCAGCCUGGACUAUACAAGCAAGGAGACUCUACCUGGAAAAACUAAAGCAGAGCUUUAGAGGACGAGGAGAAGGAAGACAAUUCACAAGGAAGAAGGACAGAAAGGGAAAGAGGAAUGGAGGGAGGAGGAAGGAAGAGAAUGAAGAGGCACACUGAUGUUGAGUGAUGGCCGACCACAGCCUCCCAUAAAGACCCAUCAGUGGUGACAAACUGCAGGCAGAGGCCAGGACUCUAUGGGUUUCAGGGACACAUGUAACAGGCUUAUGCUAAAAGACACUGCUACUCCUGUCUGGACCACACAGGCAGAGUGGUCCCCAAGACUAAGGCGCCAUGAGAGCCUGGAAAGGCUCCCAGAGCAGGGAAGGCUGUUGUCCUCACAGUGCUGACUGCAGAGAAACGACAGAGAAGAAGAGCUGCAGCAGCCAAAUUGACAGCAGAGCUCAGGGAGGCUGGCACAGGCCCAGCUGUCUGCCAGAUGUGUCAAGUGACUCAGGUUGAGGACAUUGCUCACAGGGAAGGUCACCGAGCCUCACUCUCCAGGGGUUUGGUGGGUCCCAUAGACACGGGGCACCCACACAGCUGACCCCAGUCUCCACACCCUCCAAGUCAGACUCACACAUACAGAGCCACCUGCCUAACCCCUGUUGUGGUAUCAAAGGUUCCACAUGGCCUCAUCCCAGCAGAGCAGAGACGCUGCUAUUGGCAUGUUCCAGCCUCUCAGGCAAGGUCUCCCACGGCCUGAUGGGAUUCAAGCACUUGACCUGGAAUGUGCAGGACAGAACUCCCCAAGCUGAGGUCACUCUACUGCCCUGACUUGCUCCUCACCAUACAAAGCAAAUCCACAUGCUUGUCAGAGCAGAUUUCAGUUCCAUUUUGGGUAGGCCUCACUAACAUUUGUAGAGGAAUUUUAAUCCAGGAACAUGUCUUUUCUGGCAAGGGAUCAUAUCCAAAGACCUAGGUCUGUGGGAUCCGGCUGAAUACAAACACGCCCUUAGUACUCAACUUUAAUCGCUCUGGCUGGAAUACAGACAUACCUUCAGUACAGGCCUUUAAUCCCAAACAUUGACCUGUAAUUGGAGGGCAGAAAGGGUUGCAUCAGACCCUGAUUUGGCUGGAUGAGUAGAAAGAGGAUAUGCCCAACAGACAGACAGAGAGACAGACGGACAAACGGAGAGCUUAAGAGCAGCGCAGAGAGAACGUUAGGCAUUUAGAACGGGCAGUACAGUGGAGGGGUGUGCUGUACAGGGGUACAGUAGAGUUCAGGGUUGUAGAACUUCCGGUGUCAUCGGUACAACACAGUUCUGUGCAGUUCAGCUGAGUGUGGUUGAGUCCAUGCAUCGGCUUGUGAAGUUCAGAGGCAGUUUUUCCAAACAGAGCAAUUCAGUCAGGAACCAAGAAGCCAGUUUGAGUCAGUCAGCUUGGAGAGGAGUUUAGAGCCAAAACAGCUGAGUUGAACCACCAGCCAGAGUUCAGAAAGAACUAGAAAGGGCGAGUUAAUUCAGCAGUAAGUCUCCGAGGCUAUAACGCUCUAGGCCUAGGUUGGCAGGCAGAGCCUGGAAGCUGAAGCCUUCAAGGUCUGGGCUUGCAGAAAAUUAGACUGUACAAAGGCUAGAAGCUUCCAGGCCUAGGUCUAGGGAUAGACCUACUCUGGGCUCACCCCAAGCCGUGUAUUACUAAAACUUGGUUUUGACUCUCAUCUCACCCCCUCCCACCCCCUAAAUCUGAGGAAAUAAAAACUUUUACGAAUA